rnacentral:rRNA from 1 species
UACGGAGGGAGCUAGCGUUAUUCGGAAUUACUGGGCGUAAAGCGCACGUAGGCGGCUUUGUAAGUUAGAGGUGAAAGCCUGGAGCUCAACUCCAGAAUUGCCUUUAAGACUGCAUCGCUUGAAUCCAGGAGAGGUGAGUGGAAUUCCGAGUGUAGAGGUGAAAUUCGUAGAUAUUCGGAAGAACACCAGUGGCGAAGGCGGCUCACUGGACUGGUAUUGACGCUGAGGUGCGAAAGCGUGGGGAGCAAACGGG